UCUUAUCGAUAAAUCCGCGGUCACUCUGGCUAUGAAUUUGUUGUUUUUCUUGUUGUUAUCGUCAGAGUUUUUCCAAUUUCUUGCUUAAAUUUCAUCAAGUGCUCGGUCUGUUGUUAUCCGCCAGAGUAGCUACAUAUUUGUUUCGCAAUCCAAUUUCUUGCUUAAAGUUUCAUCGUGCUCACGUCGCGGAUGAAAAAAAAGUGAUAAAUAUAGAAGUGAAGCACUGCAAAUGCUUUUAGCACAUAAUCGGGCAAGAACACCGCAUUCGAUUAGACAAGUUAGCAAAUAAGUGGCAAGUGCUGGCCAAGCCAAUUGAUUAAACGCCCUAAUUGAAAUAAAAUAUACCAGGCGCGAGUGAUAUAGAGAGAGAGAGAGAGAGCGAGAUCGAAGCAUCGAAAAGCUGCCAAAGAAAUCUUGCCACCAACACACAUUUUUUGCAUUCACUCUUUGCUCUCGGCCGCUUUCAUCGCGUGUUGUUUGUGUGUGUGCGUGUAUAUAUAUUUUGCCGCGUUGCCUUGCUGGCUCAUUCGUGGUCUCCUGAAUCUGUUUUUGUCGCUGGGAAUCGCCCGAAAGCGCUGUUGGAAGAGUGUGCAACAAGAGGCACGUGAAUGUCGCAAAAACACCAGAAGCAGUCCUACCAACCGCUCCCCACCGCCGCGGCCGCCAUGGACAAUCCGGCGAUGACCCAGAGCAGUAGCAGUAGUGGCGGCAGUAAUGAAAAUGUCGCCAACAUACCUCCGACUUACUCGUCACAACAGUUGAUGCCCUCGGAUUCCGACAGCAUGGAAGAGGAGCGUCAGCUACGUCCCACUGGAACUGCAGCCAACCUCGGUGCCGGCCUUGGUUUACCGACCGUGCCCACGCGCCUCUCCGCGGUCGGCCGGUCGCAAUGGUUUACCGUUUCCGUGCUCUGCUUUGUCAAUCUCAUCAACUAUAUGGACCGCUUCACGAUUGCGGGGGUUCUGAAGGAUGUGCAAAACGACUUUCAAAUUGGCAACGAUAGUGCGGGACUCCUGCAGACGGUCUUUGUCAUCUCGUACAUGGUCUGUGCGCCCGUCUUUGGCUAUCUGGGGGAUCGGUACUCCCGGCCGUGGAUCAUGUCCGUGGGCGUGGCCCUAUGGUGCACCACCACGCUGUUGGGCUCGUACAUGCAGAGCUUCGGCUGGUUCAUCACGUUCCGGGCUCUGGUAGGAAUCGGCGAGGCCUCGUACAGCACGAUAGCACCAACGAUAAUAUCGGACCUCUUCGUGGACCACAUGCGCUCCAAGAUGCUGGCGAUGUUCUACUUUGCCAUUCCCGUCGGCUCCGGUAUGGGAUAUAUUGUCGGCUCGAAGACGGCUCACCUGGCCAACAACUGGCGCUGGGCGCUGCGCGUGACCCCCAUCCUGGGCGUGGCUGCAGUCCUGCUGAUUAUGCUGAUCAAGGAUCCGGAGCGCGGCCAAAGCGAGGGCUCCCACAGCAUGGAGGCCACCUCCUACAAAAAGGACAUCAAGGAGCUGCUCAAGAACCGCUCGUUCAUGCUCUCCACGGCCGGAUUCACGUGCGUGGCCUUUGUGGCCGGAGCCCUGUCCUGGUGGGGACCCUCCUUCAUCUACCUAGGCAUGAAGAUGCAGCCGGGCAACGAGAACAUCGUUCAGGACGACGUUGCAUUCAAUUUCGGAGUGAUCACAAUGUUGGCGGGCCUGUUGGGCGUGCCGCUGGGCUCGUUCUUGUCACAGUAUCUGGUGAAGCGAUACCAAUCGGCGGAUCCGGUGAUCUGCGCCUUUGGCCUGCUGCUCAGCGCCCCGCUUCUGUUCGGCGCCUGCCUGAUGGUGUCUUCGCACGAGCUGGGCACCUAUUUGCUAAUAUUUUUCGGACAGUUAGCUUUAAAUUUGAAUUGGGCGGUUGUGGCGGACAUCUUGCUGUAUGUAGUGGUGCCUACGCGUCGUUCCACAGCGGAGGCCUUCCAAAUACUCAUCUCCCACGCCCUGGGCGAUGCCGGCAGUCCCUAUCUUGUGGGAGCGAUGUCGGAGGUCAUCAUGAAGCAUCUGCGCAAGCAUCCCGACGCUUCGGGCUUGACAAAUGAACUGCAAAGCAUGUCCCAGGUGCUGGAGGCGCAACUCGUCAAUGCCACGGAAGUGGCCACGAAAGUGGCCUCGGAGGCUAUCCAUUCGUUACAAACGAAUCUAACAAAGUCAGCUGACAAGAUGGCAGAACAAUUUACGGAACUCGAGCAGUUUGAGGGACUUCAGUACGCGCUGUUCUCCACCAGCUUCGUGGAGGUGCUGGGCGGCAUCUUUUUCCUGUUCACCGCCUGCUUCAUACUCAAGGACAAAUACAAGGCCGCGCAAAGUGUAGCUGGCGAUAAGGGACUAGCAGUGGCAGCGAAAGACGUCGAGUCUGUCAAUUCGGACUGUCUCGUCCUGUACACUGACAUUGCCCUGCGGGAACGCGCGUGAUAGUGCAAGGCGCUCUCGAAAUAAAACUAUUUUGGCCUCAGAUCCCAUAAGAUGCUCAGGAUCAGCACCAGCAGCGGGGCAACCAGAUUGCCUAAUACCAGCCUAUACUGGAAGUUAUGCUGCGCACUCAGAGCACUGAUGGCAUUUUGGGUGAACUCAUACUGACUGAAAAUCAUCUUUAAUUUAAUCUCUACACACACACGCACACCACGGAUUGGUUUCAUUUGGAAUUUGGAUAAUGUGUAGACCUACGUAGGAUACAUGCUCAAUAUUCUAUCAGAAGGGAAAGGACAGAUAGCCACGACAUCCAUACAUACCUAAACAGUUCAGUUAUGUAGAUAUAUACAUACAUACACUCUCAAUCAUCCACUCCUAAACUCGCGAGUCAUAUACUUUUUAAUUGGUUCAUUUUACCUGUAAACGAUAAUUUACGUAGUCGUAGAUAGACCUAGUUCUGGUAUUUUAGUCUAAAGAAAAAUUAAAAUGGAAAAAAAAUACAAAAUAAAACAAGCAAACACUUCAUGCGAUUUCGAGGAUGUUCUCCAUUAGGCGGCCACUGUCUCCUCUCCAAUCAAGACCGAAACUGUUGUAAAUAGUUCAAGAACCCUAUCCUAUUAAGUGGCAGAAGCACCGAACCGCACGGAUUAUCUCAGGCAACGUAUGGAACGCAUGGAGUGUCGAUUGUUGCGAUAUUUAUAUAUAAUAAGCUACACAUUUAGAGUAUAAUAUAUGAAUACAUUUGAUUUGUAAAUAUUGAUACGAAUUGGGCCAUUGUAUAAGUGCAUAGUCUCUAUAGAUAAUCAAUCUAAUCGUAAUUCUGUAAUUUUAUUUUAACUAUAACCUUAAUCGUAAUCUUAACUCUAGAUAGAUUUGUGUAACAAAUUGAAUGAAAUAUCUGCACCCUCAACUAUUACUGAAUAUUACAAGCUAACUAUUUAAACAAAUGGAAGAAAUCCUUUUAGCUACAGAAUUAAUCUUCGGGGAUCAUAUAUGUUUUUGAUGUUAACUCUUAGUCCAAUGUUAGCCACUUCAAACUGAAAUAGAAAGCGACAAAAAGACUGCAAAUAAUCAAAAUCGAUAUUCGUCUUAGGAAUAACCCAAAGAUAGGGCAAACAAAUAUGUGACAAAUAUGAUUUGACAAUUGAGGACUACUGGGGCAAUAAAGAAUUU